AGGGCCGUCGUUCUGCUUAAAUCGCGGGUGGUUGCUAGUGCGCUCGGAGCCGAAGGUGCGUGGGGAGAGUUCUUUUAGACGAGGUAUGAACCCCCCCUAAGAUUGGCAAUCGGGAGACCUUGUACGGAGAGUUGAGCUGUCUGAACUCUGGUUUGAUAGGCUCCAGUAAUCCGCGCCGGAGUACGUUGGUCCCAUUUUUCUCCUCGCCGUGCACCCGCCCAGCCUUUCGCGGAUUCCCGGCUCUUCCGGAUCUGGUGCGGUCUCUCCCGGGAGCUGUGUGGUGCGCUCCAGGACUCGCCGUGGGCGGUGAUGGGGGGCGCUACCGUGGGUGUGAGCGGGCGCUGUGGGCGAGUCCAUUCGCUUCUGCCCACCCUACCGCGUGGUUCGUUUGAGAGGAGUUGGUGGGUUUGAGUCAGCGGGAAAAAGUCUCCAAGUUGCCGCCUGGUCAGGGUAAUUUUACCUGCACUUCCUUCCACUCCUUGCCCUCCCCCCGCCCUCCCCAGUACAGGUUUUAGAUCCGCUAACGCCGAGCCUUGGAUCUGGGAUUCGUAUGGCUCACUGCUUUUUCUGUCAUUCAUGGAGAAUUUAGCUGACGGUGCCGCCUUUUUGUGCUUCGUGCUCCCUGCUUCCCUUCCCUAAGAUAAACAUUGGAUUGAUGGAAUGAGUAAAGCGGAUUGAUGGAGUGAAUAAAGCAGAUUGCCAUCCCUAAUGUCAGUGGGCCUCAUUCAAUCAAUUGAAGACGUGAAUAGAACAAAAAGACUGAGUAAAAGGGAAUUCCUGCUUGAUUGUAUAGCUAGGAUGCUGGUCUUUCCCAGCCUUCAGGCUCGGACUGAAACAUCAGCUCUUCUUGGAUCUUGAACCUGCCAACUUUCAGACUGGAACUUAUGUCAUUGGCCCUCACUGGCCCUCCUGGUUCUCAGGCCUUUGGAUUCAGACUGGAACUACACAUCAGCUCUCCUGGGUCUCCAGCUUGAUUACUGCAGAUCUUGGGACUUCUCGGCUUCCAUAAUCAUACAGCCAUGUGAAGACAGAGAUACACAGAAAGAAUGCCAUGUGCAGAUAAAACAGAGAUCAGGGUGAUGUAGCAGAAGUCAAAGAAUGCCAACGAUUGCCAGCAAACCACCAGAAGCUAGGGGAGAGCAUGGGACAGAAAUUUAUUUCACAGCCCUCAAGAGGAACCAAGCUUGCUGACACCUUGAACUCAGACUUCUAGCUUCCAGAACUGUAAGGCAGAAGAAAGGCCAUGUGGGAACCAUAGAAGAGCUUCUCCCCAAACCUGAAUGAAGAAAUAAUGAUUUUUUUCCAAAGAUUUUAUUUAUCCAUUUGACAGAGAGACAGAGCACAAGCAGGGGGAGCAGCAGCAAGGGGAGAGGGAGAAGCAGGCUCCCCACUGAGCAGAGAGCUGGAUGCGGGACUCGAUCCCAGGACCCUGGGAUCAUGACCUGAGCCAAAGGCAGAUGCUUAACCAACCGAGCCACCCAGGCGCCCCAAGAAAUAAUGAUUUUUUAAAAAGAUUUAUUUAUUUGAGAGAGUGCAAGUGGGAGAAGGGGCAGGGGGAGAGAGAGACGGAGAGAAAUCCUCAAGCAGACUUCCCACUGAAUGUGGAGAACAGAGCCCUACAUACAGCUCGAUCCUAGGACCCCGAAAUCAUGACCUGAACUGAAAUCAAGAGUCGGUCACUUACCCGACUGAGCCACCAAGGCACCCCCUGAAUGAAGAAAUAGAUCUGUGGGGCAAAGGAGUUGAAUUCUGGUGGUUCUGAAAAUGGGCCACUGGAUUCCCUUCCGUGCAGAACAUAGUUAAUUGGUAGUCUCAACUACUGACCUGGAUCCACCAAUAUGUUCACAACUGAGGCCAUUCUCACAACCCAUUCUUAGCUAAUGACUGAGCAUCAUGGGCUAAUAAAUCAGGCUCAUUCCUUUGAGACUUGGGAUUCCACUAAUGCACUACUCUUGCUAGAGAACUACCCAUAGGAUUUAGAGCUCACAGGGAAAUGUAGAGAAAGAAACAGCAAAUUUAUGCAAAGAAAGUUUAAAAAGGAAAUAAAUGAAAGGAAAUAAAGAUAAAAUCAUAAAUCAAUGAAAUAAAAAGCAGAUGUACAAAAGCCAACACUCAUUAACCAACAAAGAGUCAACAAAGCCAAAACUUAUUAAACUUCAAAAGGACUAAAAAGAUUAAUCAACUCCUAGCAAGACCAAUCAAGGAAGAAUACAAGAAAACACAUUACCAAUAUCAGCAAUAAAAAAGGGGACAUUAGUACAGGUCCCAUAGACAAUAAAAAUGUGAGGAUAUUAUAAGAAACUUUUUACCAAUACAUUUGACAAUCUAGAUGAAAUGGAAAAUUUUGAGAAACAAAACUUACUAAAAUAAUAAUAAAUAGAAAAUUCUAUAUUUUAUAUUUUAAAGAAAGUGAAUGCAUAAUUUAAAAUCUUUCUACAAAGAAAACUCCAGAUGGCUUCACUGGUGAGUUCUUUCCAACAUAUAUUUCUUUUAGAAAGUCAUAAAAUGCAUAUCGACACUUUCUAAUGCUUAUAUAUAUUACACAUUCUAUUUGUGGAUUAACUUCCCCCUGCUCCAUGCAUCAUUUAUUUAGCACCUACUAUGCAUUAUGUUAAGAGUUGUAGAUAAAAAGAUGAAUAAAGUUUUUGGCAGAGGGGACCUUCAGGCUGAUGGAAGAAGACUACAUAUAAUACAUGUAAAUGCAGUGAAAUAAGUGCUAAUAAAGAUUUGCAUAAAGUACUAUGAGAGACAGGUAUGAAUCCAGGGAAGGGAAGGCUUUCCAGGCAUUAGAGAUAAAACAAUGUGCCAUGUGCUAUGGGCAUAAAAAUAGCUGGCAAAUAGAGGACAUUCCUUCUCAGUAUUCCUUAUUGGAUCUCCUCCCCUUGUUCCCUUAAAUUUUUUGAUACCUCAGGGUUCUGUCUUUGGCUUCUGUUUUUCACUCUCCGCAAACAACUUAUUCAUUCCCACGUUUGUCCCUUCUGUAUAUGUUAAUCAUUUCAAAAAUUUGCAUCUCUAGUCUCCACAUCUUUCUUGAGCUGUAGGCCUAAAUAUUCAAGUGUCUAGAGAACUCACCUACUCAAGGACUUUGCCUCCACACUUAUUUUACCCUCUCCUGCAUCACCAAUCUUCCCUCCCUUCUUAAACAACAACAACAAAAAGCCUCUCCCUUGACAGCAUGUCUGUCCAGCUACUGCACUACUUCUCUGUUCCCUUUAUAUGGUGAUACUUCUCACUUUCUUUCUUUCCACUGUAUCUUAACCUUUAUGAUACAUAAAAUCUCUUAUGAGUCUUUUAUCCCUACUACUCUUCUGAGACUUCUCUUAUCAAGGUCACCAAUAACCUUCAUACUGCCAAAUCUAAUUCUCAACUUACUUGACCCAAGAGCAGCUUGGCCAGUGAUCAUUUCCUCUUUCUUGAACAACUAUCUUUACCUGGCUUCCAUCCUCUACUGAUUUUCUUCUCAUCUCACUAGCCACUCCUUCUUAGUUUCUUUGUUGGAUUGUCUUUCUCUUCUCAACCUUUAAGUACUGGAGUAUUCUAGUUCCAUCCUUCGACUUCUACUCAGUUUUCGCUUACAUUCAUCUUAGAAAAUCUUAACCAAUUCUAUCAUCUGAAAUGUCAUGUUAAAUGAUUCCAAAAAUUAUAUCUACAGGCUCAACCUUUCCCCUCAAUUCCAGACUCCUAUCUCUACUAUCUACUCUACUUGAACAUCUAACAGCAUUCCAACCUAAACAUGUCUAAAACAAUUCUUGCAUUUAUCAAACCUAAGUCCCUUCAAUUUUCUCCAUCUCAGUAAAUGGUUCUAUGAUUCAGUCUGUUGCUCAAGCCUGAAAUGUUGGGAUCAUUGUUGACUCCUCUCUACCCUCAUUCAACCCAUCAACACAUUACAUCAGCUAGCCUUCUAAACAUAUCCCAGUUCUGACUAGUUCUCACCACCUUGAUCACUUCUACUAUAGCCCAAACCACCAUCAUCUUUUACCUAGAUCCUUUCCUCCUAACUGGCUACCCAGCUUCCACACUUCCCUCACUAUAGUGUAUUGGGAGUAAUCCUUUUACAGUGUAAGUUGGAAUAUGCCACUUCCCUGUUCAGAACCUUCCAGUGAUUUUCAUUACACUAAAAUAAAUUCCAGGGCGCCUGGGUGGCUCAGUCAGUUAAGCAUCUACCUUCAGCUCAGGUCAUAAUCUCAGGUCCUGGGAUCAAGCCCCACAUCAGGCUCCCUGCUCAGUGGGGAGUGUGCUUCUCCCUCUGCCCCUCCACACACUUGUGCUUGCUCUCUCUCUCUCUCAUAAACAAACAACUCUUAAAAAAAAACAAACCAAAAAAACCCAAAGUUCUUUCCAUUAUCUGAAUGGAUAUCCCUUCUCUGGACAUUUGCACCUGUAGUUCCCUCUACUUGAAAUAGUCUUUCUUCAAAUAUAUUCACAUGGCUCAUUUCUUUUCUGUUCAAAUGUCACCUCCUCAUAGGGACCACUCUAUCUAUAUAACUCUCUCCUUCACUAGCUGUGAUUUUACUCUGCUCUAUUUUCUUUCACAGGCCAUAAUACUACAAGGUAUCAUAUCAUGUAUGCAUUUGUUUAUUGGACAUAUUAUCUGCCUUCCAUUCUAGAAUGCAAGCUCCAUAAGGAUAAGGAAUUUACCUGUUUUGUUCAGUCACCAAGUCCUAUCAAUUCUACCUCUUAAAUGCAUCUUCAACCCACCUUCUCUCUAUUCCCACUACCUUUGCCUUUAUUCAGUUGCCAUCAUCAGUUGCUGGGACUAUUAUAGUAUUCUCCUAUUUGACAUUUUGCCUUCACCUUCUUUUAUCCAGGCCUUUUUCUCAAACUACUACCAAUUUGAUAACACUAUUCAUGCCUCUCCAUAAAACUCUUUGUAGGGGACACCCUCUUUGCAUUUUGGAUAAACUUCAAGCCCCUUAACACAGCACCCAAGGUGCCUCCUGCCACCUUCUUGCCAUAACUCUCCAAUAGUACCAAACUUCUUGUAUCUGCUCAUGUCCUUGCCUCUGUCUUUGAGGCAUGUUGGUUCUUCUAUUUAAGUGCCCUCUCCUAACUCUCAGAGAUAGAUAAAUAUUUCUUCCUGUGGCCAUACUUUUAUUGCAUUUAUUAUAAAGUGGUGAAUUUUUUUGCAUGUCUCUUAUUAAACUGUGAACUUCUUAAGGGAAGAGAGGUGUUCCCUUAUUCAGGGCAUAGAUCCUGUCACACAGUAAGAGGUAUAUGGAGGUGGGAUUAGGGCAUGGAGAAUGUUCAAAUGAGAAGGAAUUAUGUGUAUGAAUUCUCUGAGACAUAAGGGAGCUUGGCAUCUUCAGAGAAGAGAGAAGGCCAGUGCAACUGGCCCAGUGAAUGAGGGGUUGUGGCAAAAGAACAAGUUAGAAAGAUUGUGAAAACCACAUCAUGCAUCUCAAACAUUAUCCUAAGAGAAAUAGGAAGCUUCUAAAAGGUUUUAAGUAGAACGACAAGAUAAAAUUUAUAUUUACAAAAGUCAUGAGGGGCACCUGGAUGGCUCAGACGGUUAAGUGUCUGCCUUCAGCUCAGCUCAUGAUCCCAGGGUUCUGGGAUCGAGCCCCGCAUCGGCCUCCUGGCUCAGUGGGGAACCUGCUUCUCCUUCUCCCUCUGCCUCUCCCCCUGCUCAUGCUCUCUCUCUCUCUCUGUAUCUCUGUGUCUCAAAUGAAUAAAUAAAUAAAAUCUUUAAAAAAUAAUAAUAAAAAAAUUAAAAAGUCAUGAUGCAGGGCGCCUGGGUGGUGCAGUCGGUUAAGCGGCCGACUCUUGGUUUCGGCUCAGGUCGUUAUCUCAGAGUCCUGAGAUUGAGCCCCACAUCUGGCUCUGUGCUGAGCAAGGAAUCUGCUCAAGAUUCUCUCUCCCUCUGCCCCCCUGCCCCCCAAAAUAAAUAAAUAAAUAAAUAAAUCUUAAAAAAAAACCCAGUCAUGAUACUUGCUAUGUAAAGAAUGGAUUGAAAGGAUGCAAGAAUGAAUGCAGAGAGACCAGAUGGACAUUGUUGCGGUAGUCCAGGCAAAGGUGAUGAUGGGUUGGGCUGGGUUGAUAGUGGGGAUGGUGAGAAAUAAACAAAUUCAAGAUAUAUCUUAGAGGUAAAAUGGGACUUAGUGAUAGAAUAAAUGAAGGGAUGGAGAAGGUAGAUUGCACAACUGAAUAGCUGGUGGGAUCAUUUGCUGAAAUGCAGCAGGUUUGCCAGAGAGUCAAAGGAGAAAUAGGUAAGUUUUGAGAGGAUAAGUAUGAGAUGCCUGAAUAUGAAACAUGUAAAGGGAUAUGCCAGAAAGGCAGUUGAAUAUAGAUAAAGGUAUGGAUUUCAGAAGAGAGGACUGGGCUAGAAAAAUAAGAGAGUCAUGAACACACAGAUUGUGCGUAAAGUCAUAAGAAUUGAUAAGAGAGCCUAGGGAGAGAUUGUGGCAUGAAAAGAGAAGAGGAUUAUGGAUGAUGUGGAGUUGAGAAGAAAUUCACUGGAUUGGAGAUAAUGAGAACAUGAAACUGAGAAGCCAUAUGGACCUUAGAAUUGCCCAGGAGAAUGGCAGAAGUUGAGGUGGGGAGGAAGGCUGUGAGCCAGGUGCUUGUUAAAGAAUGAGGAAAAUGGCCAAGAGUUUGGAAGAUAAUUGCACUGGGAGGGGAGAAAAGAUGAGUAGAUGAAUGACAUGAACCUCAAAAAGAGAUUUUACAAGAAGGAGGAGUAAUGAGAAACAACCUAAGUAUCUCAACUAUCUACUGUUUCAGAUAAUGGGGAUCUUCAAGAAUGUCUUCAGAGUUUGCAGGUUAAAUAGGCUCAAAGAAAUUCUACCCCUGCUGUUCCAGAAUAAGCCAGUCCCCUGGGGCUUAAUCAAAGCAGGGAAGCUGAUAGAGUGAGGCCUAAGCUGUGGGAAUGUGGCAUAGAAUGAGAGUGGGAAUUAAGUGGGUGAUAAGAGAAUGAACUACCACUGAGGCAGAGGGGAUGAAAAGGAGGAAGAGCUUGAGGAAACAUCUCUAACAUAGCUGGAGAUUGAGUUUAGCCAACUAUCCAAACAAUCAUGCCUACGUAAUGAAAUCCCAGUAAAAUCUCUGGACACUGCAACUCAGAGAAGUUCCUGGUUAGCGAGCAUAGGUAUGCUAGGAAGGUUAGAUAUGUCUGGCCUCUACAGGGAGGAGGCAUGGAAGUUCUGUGUUUAAGACCCUCCCAUGGUAUGCCUGGGUGGUGCCUUUGGUUAAGCAGUUGACUCUGGGUUUCUGCUCAGGUCCUGAUCUCAGGGUUGUCAGAUCAAGCACCACAUCGGGCUCUGUGCAGAGUGAGGAGUCUGCUUAAGACUCUCUCUCCCUCUCCCCCUGCCCCUCCCCCACCUCUCUAAAAACAAAUUAAAAAAAAAAAAAGACCCACUCAGACCUCACCCUGUGUGUCUUCAUUUGGCUGACCCUGAUUUGUAUUUUUAAAAUAAAACAAGUUGUAAGUAUAGCACUUUCCUCAGUUCUGUGAGUCAUUCUUGUGAAUUUCUGAACAUGAGGGGGUCAUGAGAACCCCUGAAUUUUCACCAAAUGGUCAAAAGUGUGGUGGUCUGGGGGUGCCCAAAGUGUGGCUGAUGUCUGAAGUAAGGGCAGUCCUGCUGAGGAUUGUGCCCUUAAACCUGCAAAGUCUAACACUAACUCUGGGUGGUUAGCAUCAGAAUUGUUUUGCAGUUAGAGUUGGUGUCAGAAUAACAGGUAACAGAGAAUUCUACUCAAACUAACUUUAAAAAGUAAAAGGAAUUUAUUGGUGCACAUUACUGAAAAGUGAACAAGUAUAUCGCUUCAGGCAUGGCAUGAUCUAGCAACUCAAUGUGACCAGCAACUCAAACAAUGUGACCGGGUUUUUCUGUUUUAGUUUUUCUUGAGACUGGCUUCAUUCUCAGGAAAACUCUCCCUUCCUGAUGCAGGAUGGCUGCCAAUAGUUCCUGAGGUUAUGUGCUUGUGGAUUUAUGUCCAAUUAAAGGGGGGGUGGGAGAGAGAAAGAGAAAUUCUUACUCAUUCAAAUAGUUUGUCUAAGAAUUGAGAUAACUGGCUUGAAUUGGGGCAUUUCCAUCCUUGAAUGAAUUAUCAUGACCGGAAGCAUUGCCAUAAGUCAAUUAGACCCUACCUCAAAAGCCAGAGGUGGGAUUUAUCAUACCCAUUUGGCUAUGAAUGGCUUGCCUUAAGCAAAAUGUGGAUACUAUCGUUGGAAAAACGGGGAUAUGAAUACUGUGGAAGCAUGGCUUGCCUUAAGCAAAAUGUGGAUACUAUCGUUGGAAAAACGGGGAUAUGAAUACUGUGGAAGCAAUCAGUAAUGAAAGUGUUCCAUUGAUAUUUAUUGAUUGACUCUUCUUUUUGAAAAUUAGCUGCAUUCUGGAAAGCAAUCCCAGAUCCCUUUAGUUCUUAAAUUCUACACUUAGGAAUUGUUCUAUCUGUACUCCAGGUGGCUUAAGUAUCCUGCAAGGUUCUCUUGGAAACAUAAUGAUUUGCUGGUGCAAUUCUGAAAGAGAGAAAUACAGCUUGUCAGAUUAUGGCACAACUCAUCUUCUCCAGAGAUCAUUUAUGUGACAACUUAAUUAUUCAGAGAAUAAAACCCUAAAAAAUGCUUGCACUUAAAGAGCUGACAGAGGAAAAUGAUUCUGUAAAAGAACAUCUCUAUGCCCUCGGCUCUGCAAAACCACUUGGAACUACCAAAAUAUAUGUCACAAAGUUUAUAUACCAGAGUUGAUGGACUUUAUUUUUGGGAAACAUUCCUAGAUCCUCACUUAGAGCAAAUUUGCCAUGAUUCUAGAAGCAGUUCUAAAGGUUUGGUUAUCUGAGGUAGUGAAUGUCUAUUGUUUUUGCUAGUUCACUGUCUAUUCUUUCUUCUGUAGGCAAAAACACCCUGAUUUGCUUUGGGGGAAACCAGGUCUCUCUAACUUUCAGUUUUGUGGCUUUGGUAGGACUGAUAUUACCCACAAGGUCCAAGAAUGGGCACAUGGCCAAGAUCUGGCCAGUCCUUGGCCAGACUGACUGAGGCUGAAAUGGGAAUGUGGCCCAAAUUGGGCCAUUGAGAGUCCUACCUAGAACUUUGCCUACAGCGUUUAUGGGGUCGCAAGGUUGUUAAGAUGUAAGGCUGGAUUGGCCUCCUUCUCUGCAACCUACCCAUCCCUACAGGCACAGCGGGAGUAAAAGUUUGUUUCUGGUUCUUUCUUUAGGAUUAAGUCCCAAAAUUGGUGUUGCUAAGCUCAGAGAUGUGUAUAUUCUAAAGACUUUGGGUACAUACUGCCAAGUUGUCCUUGGUAUGGACAUAUAUUUGCCUUCCCAGCUCUCCUGCCUUUGGAGAAUCCUUUCCCAUUCUAUAGUAAUCCUACCCCAAACAUGUGGCUCAGAUGGAGCUGAUCCAGCUCCCAGGCUCCAGCUGACAUGGUGACCUGGCCUGGUCAGCAAGAGAACUCCAUCCCCUUGACCCAGACAGUAAGCAGCAAGGACGAUGUGAAUUUGGGUCUGUAGCAGCUCUCUUCACCAUGUAGAGAGAGCCUGUCUGAGAAUACAGCCACAUAGUGGCAAGCAAUUAAAGGGACAGAGGCAGAAUUAGAGACAGAACAAAUCAUUUGAACUACUGGAUCCAACUUUGCAUAAAGCCACUUCCAUUCCUUGAACUUCUCAAUGCAUAAGCCAAAAAUUCCCUUUUUUAACUUAAACUAGUUUAAGCUUAGUUUCUGUUACAACAAACAAAAUCCUGCUACCGAUUUCCUGAAAGGUUGUCUAAAUGUGUUCCUCACCUGCUGUGAAUGAGUGUCCAGCCCCCCAAACUCCUUACACACAGAAUUAUCUUUAGUAAUAGCUUUGUUCAUACAUAGCCCCCCGCAAAAUUCUUAGAUUUCUAGCAAGGUUGAACAUUAGAAUCAACCCUUAUCUUCAUUAAAUUGUCUAUUUUUACAUGAACUAUAUCCUAUAGGAUAAUGUUACUAAAAAAAAAAAAAAGAUGUAAGGCCAGACUGAUGUGGGAUAUCAUGGGGAGAAUCCAGCUGGAAAGUGAAACCAACACAAAGGAAAUCAGAGCAAGGAGAUGGAGAGACAGAGACAGAGGAAGAACCCAGCUCUGAUGUUAUCAUUUGGGCCUCUGAGACCAGUCAUGACUAAAACUCGGACUUUUCAGUUACAGGAGGCAAUAAAUUACUCUUUCCUUAAGCCUGGUUGAGUUGGGUGUCUGCACUGAAAGAGUCUUAACUAAUUCAUCUGGUUUUCUGGUCAAGCAAAUUAGAAGCAACAAUAGAAGAGGGUUUUUGCUUGGAGGCAUGUGAGUUAGCAGCUUCUCAAAUUUUUUUGUGCAUUAUAAAUUCUGAACACUUAAUGAAAUAAAGUCCAGUUUUUGGUACUUGGUGCUGAUAUCAAAGGAAGACAAAGGAAAACUACAGAAUCUCCCUUAUUUUUAUAACUGUCCUCAAUGGUCUAUCACACUUCUUUGAUUCCACUCUCCGAGAGUGGUUAUGAUACUAGGGCAAAAUUGUAUUAUUAAUGUUUCUGUUUUAAUUUCCUGCAAAACCAAAAUACUGGAUUUUACUUUU